UGGCGAGGAUGCGUCUGGGAACUCCUUUGUCGGGGACGGGCUACGAGGUGGCACGGACACUUCUCGCACGUCGUCUAUAGUUCCUGGUGACGAAGGAGCUCGUGGAGAUUCUUUAGCAUCUGUAGGCCAGUGGGUUUGAGGUGGCACGGAUACUUCUUGCAAGUCGUCGAUAGUUCCUGGCGACCAAGGAGCUUGUGGAGAAUCUCUAGCAGCUGUAGGCGAGUGACUGAGAGGUGGCACGGACACUUCUCGCAAGUCGUCGAUAGUUCCUGGCGAGUGGCUUUGAGGUGGCACAGACGCUUCCCGCAAGUCGUCUAUAGUUCCUGGCGACCAAGGAGCUUGUGGAGAAUCUCUAGCAGCUGUAGGCGAGUGACUGAGAGGUGGCACGGACACUUCUCGCAAGUCGUCGAUAGUUCCUGGCGAGUGGCUUUGAGGUGGCACAGACGCUUCCCGCAAGUCGUCAAAAGUUCUUGGUGACGAAGGAGCUUGUGGAGAUUCGCUAGCAUCUGUAGGCGAGUGACCUUGAGGUGGCAGCGAUGAUUCUGGCAGGCCGCGA
rnacentral:lncRNA from 1 species